GAUGAACGCUGGCGGCGUGCUUAACACAUGCAAGUCGAACGGAAAGGCCCAAGCUUGCUUGGGUACUCGAGUGGCGAACGGGUGAGUAACACGUGGGUGAUCUGCCCUGCACUUCGGGAUAAGCCUGGGAAACUGGGUCUAAUACCGGAUAGGACCACUUCUUGGAUGUUGUGGUGGAAAGUUUUUUCGGUGUGGGAUGAGCUCGCGGCCUAUCAGCUUGUUGGUGGGGUAAUGGCCUACCAAGGCGUCGACGGGUAGCCGGCCUGAGAGGGUGUACGGCGACAUUGGGACGGAGAUAAGGCCCAGCAUCGUCGGGGAGGCAGCAGUGGGGAGGGUGGCAGACUGGGUGCAGGCGUUAUGCACGAACGCCGCGUGGGGGAUGAGGGCCUGCGGGUUGUAAACAGAUUUCGACUGUGAAGAAGCGUGCGUGACGGUAAUGGGUAAAGAAGCACCGGCUAACUACGUG
rnacentral:rRNA from 1 species